rnacentral:rRNA from 1 species
UACGGAGGAGGCAAGCGUUAUCCGGAAUUAUUGGGCGUAAAGCGUCCGCAGGUGGCACCUCAAGUCUGCUGUCAAAGACCGGGGCUUAACCCCAGAAAGGCAGUGGAAACUGAAGUGCUAGAGUGCAGUAGGGGUAGAGGGAAUUCCCGGUGUAGCGGUGAAAUGCGUAGAGAUCGGGAAGAACAUCGGUGGCGAAAGCGCUCUGCUGGACUGCAACUGACACUCAGGGACGAAAGCUAGGGGAGCGAAAGGG